GUCUCUGGUUCAAUGGGCUGCUCGAAGCCAGGACUGGGUAAUUCUUUCCAGACGUCUUGACUUCUCCUUCCCCGCCGUUGUUGCCCUUCUGCCUCCUCCAACUUAAGGGGGUCUUAACAAGUGAGCUGGAUCUUCUGAGGGGUGGACUUCUUUGGAACUCGACAGGACCUUGAAGACUGGGUUCUUAGUCCUUAUCACAUAUAUGGGCUAUAAUGAAUAAGUCUAAACAGAAAAGUCGAAUAAACUGGAAAUGAUGCUUUCAUCACGUCGCACAAGGAGCUGUUUGGAUCAGAAGAUGACAUCCUUUCACCCAUCCCUUUCAGGUUUUGACAUCCUAAAAUGUACCUUAUGGAACCCAUACCUGUUAUGUUUUCACCUGUACAAGGCAACAGAGAAAACAUGGUAGUUUUUACUUGAGUAGAUGUGACUUAGCAAUAUGUUGUUGCUGACCUCCAUCCCACAGCACAAAACAUAUGUUUAUAUGUCUGACAGACAAAGUAUCCAGAACAAGGAUUUAGUACCUUCAUAAUCCUCUGUAUAUGUGGUUCUAGAACUUUUGGUAAAGAAACUCUUUAUACUCUUAUUAAUUAUUGAGAACCUCAAAAAAAGUUUAUAUGUUAUAUGUAUCAAUAUUUACCACAUUAGACAUUAAAGCUGACUUAAAAAGUUAAAAUACUUAAGUCAUUUGAAGUAAUAAUAAAUGC
rnacentral:lncRNA from 10 species